rnacentral:rRNA from 1 species
UGGGCUAAGCGUCCGUAGCUGGCGACAAGUCUACGGGAAAUCCACCCGCCCAACGGGUGGGCGUCCGGUAGAAACUGGCCGGCUUGGAACCGGAAGGCUCAGAGAGUACGUCCGGGGUAGGAGUGAAAUCCCGUAAUCCCGGACGGACUACCGAUGGCGAAAGCACUCUGAGAAGACGGCUUCGACAGUGAGGGACGAAAGCUCGGGUCUCAAACC